CUCCAGACACAGUGAACACAGAAGACGAGGACAGAAAUAACACAACGGGUGCCCUAGGAUGAGAAGAACACUCUACUCCUAGAGCAUAAAGAACCAAGAAGAUGCGGCCAGUGUGGGGACUUCACAGAGGCCCUUGCUGUAAGCACGGACCUCAUUUUAUACACAAUGAAGACUUGAUAAAUCCAGACAUAGAACUCUCAGCUCAUCCAGCACCAUGUCUACCUGCACGCUGCUGCUUGCACUCUGAUGAAAACGAACUGAACCUCUGAACCUGUACAACUGUUUAAAAAACAAAGACUGCUCUUUGAUCACUUCCCCCUGAGGGGGAAGCAGCAUUACCAGUCCACAAAAGAAGACAAUGCAGCCACUCCUGAUGAGACCUAAUUGACUAGGAUCAGAAGGAAGGAAAAGAAGACCUCCCCUAUCAAUGGACUUGGGGAGGGGCAUGCAUGCAGAGGGUGGAGGAAAGGAGGGAUUGGGACAGGAGGAGGGAGGGAACCACAGGGGGAU